rnacentral:pre_miRNA from 1 species
AAUGGAAUUUCUGGGUCAUAUAGUAAUUCUAUGUUCAGAGGAACUGACAAACUGUUUUCCAUGGUGGAUGUACUAUUUUACAUUCCCACUAGUAAU